rnacentral:tRNA from 1 species
UGGACUAUAGUUAACAAUAACAUUUAAUUUGCAUUUAAAAAGUAUCUUAAUAUAAGAUUAGUCUUA